rnacentral:misc_RNA from 1 species
ACAAACUUGGUCAUUUAGAGGAAGUAAAAGUCGUAACAAGGUUUCCGUAGGUGAACCUGCGGAAGGAUCAUUAAUAAUUUAAUGAGCUCUUUGAGCUUUAUUAUCUUAACUUGUGGUAAUAUUGAAGUAAUAAUGGGUUUAAAGAUGAUUUCUUUGCAAGAAGAUAUCGACCCAAAUACCAUUUAUACACUCUUAUUAAAUUGACUGAAAUCAAGUUAAAAUCCAAAUUGAUGGAUUAAAAAGUUUUUAAACAACUUUCAACAACGGAUCUCUUGGUUCUCGCAUCGAUGAAGAACGCAGC